CUCGCUCUCUCUCUCUACAGACAGCUUACGCUUAGGUGUGUGUGCGUGUGAGACUGUUUGGGUAUCUCUUCUCAUCUCCCUCUCAUUCUCUCAGUUUCCUGCAGCCAUGGCUGGUCAACACACAACAAGACUCCUCUUCGCCUUCGCCUCCCUCUCUGUGUGCCUCGUCCUCUUCACCCAAGCUGAAGCCUGCAUCACCGAGAUCAGGGUCGAGCGUGUGGUUUGGUCCACCUCUUACAACCUCAGCUGUGCACGCUUAAAAGGAGAUGAGCGUAUUGUGACCCUAGAGAAAGAGAAACAGCGCGUCCAUAACUUUACCAUCCUAGGACAGAAUACCGCUGUGGAGGUGAACGAAAACCUGCGUCUGCUGGUGGAAGGAGACAGGGUGGUGUACGAGUUCAAACAGGUGACAGAGCGGGAGGCGGGGGUGUACACCUGUGAGCUGCAGAGGAACUACCCCCCACCUUAUAAGGCUGAGGUCCGCAUGUCUGCUCUUUUUACAGGUAAAUGAGGCACACACACAUAACACACACGCAGGCACACGUACACACGCUCACUCAUACAUAACACACUCCCAGGCACACACAUGCGCGUACACAAACUCACGCAUACAUACAAAUAUACACAUAUGCUAGCAGUAGUAGUAGUAGUAAUAGUAGUAGUAGUAUAGUAGUAGUAGUAGUAGUAGUAGUUGUUGUUGUUGUUGUUGUUGCUCUCCUUAUCCCUGUAACAGUAACCCUAUGAGCACAGUGUAUACCCACUAAGCUCUAUUUGUAUGUAUCAUGUAUAUACCACC
ensembl:lncRNA